rnacentral:rRNA from 1 species
CGGUAAUUCCAGCUCCAAUAGCGUAUAUUAAAGUUGUUGCUGUUAAAAAGCUCGUAGUUGAACUUCUGACAGCGAGCAGGUUUGGCUUUGGCCAGCCUGUUCGUUGUCAUCCGUCUGCAAACCUUGUACGUCCUUCAGUGGUUCGGCAAGGGGAGUAGACAAUUUACUUUGAAAAAAUUAGAGUGUUCAAAGCAGGUAUUAGCCUGAAUACUUUAGCAUGGAAUAAUGGAAUACGACUCUUGUCUAUUUAUGUUGGUUAUUAGACUUGAGUAAUGAUUAAUAGGGACAGUUGAAGGCAUUAGUACUUAAUUGUCAGAGGUGAAAUUCAUGGAUUUAUUAAAGACUAACUAAUGCGAAAGCAUUUGCCAAGGAUGUUUUCAUUAAUCAAGAACGAAAGUUCGAGGAUAGACAGCGAUCAGACACCACUUUAUUUCGAACUAUA